GUUUUAUAAUUUUAUUUUACCAGUCAAAACAAUAAAUUGCUGAUGUUACAUAAAUAUUUAACAACGCACAUUCAAUCUGAUGAUAAUGGAAAUAUUCAAUAUUAUCUAUACAAAACUUCUAGUUGAGUAUAUGUGGACAUGAUUUGUCAUUUGUAAACAGCUCCAACAAAUGAAAUUAGCCACUGAGAUGACCAUAUUUAUUCUUUUUAGACAUAUUCAAUCAUCAUUAAGUUGUAACAGACCAUCCACACAACAUACUGUGGAUUCAUUAUUAUUCGUUGGAUACUAAUUUUUGUGGGAACAGGUGAACCACGAAAUUAAAUGUUCAACGAAUAACAAAAUUUUAUAUAGGCUUGUAUGUAGACUUCCGCAAAACCAUGAAAUUAAAUAUCCAUGAACAUACAAGUUUUCCUUAAUCCACGCGAAUUUGAACCAACAAAAAUAAAUGAAUCCACAGUGCCUUUUAUUUUAAAUAUGCUCAUAGACUCCAUGACAGAUCUUAUAAUAAUAUAGUGUACAGUAUCUGAGUCAGUGGUGUAUAAAUGGUCUAUUUUACAACCCAUUGAAAACAAUUGAAACUGAACAAUUAAUACACAAUCUUAAUUAUGCUAUCACGAUUAUAGGGAAAAAGGGAAGAGAGGAUGUUAUAUUGCACAUUUAACUUAACUUUAUAAUGAAAAUGAUAACAUAUACAUACAUACACUCGUAACAUGCAAUGUUCACUUAUACAAAUAUAAAAAUAUCGUCAUUAAAAUAAUUAAAAUGCAUGUUUAAAGCUAUGAUUAAGACAUACGGCAUAUUAAUUAGUUAACCAGAUCUACAAAGCAUUCGUAUAUUACUGUGUAAGUACAUAAGUUAUAGCUUGUAAAAAAGCAAGGUUUUGAAUACAUGGUUUAAGAGUUAACAGCAAAGUCUUAUUUUUUCAAUUAGUCAAGCCUUUCACUAACCCUCAAAUAGAUACAAAAUAAGUACUUUAUUUAUAGCUUGUAAUAAGCAAUGGUUAUGAAUACGUUGGUUUAAGACUUUUAUACAUCAAAGUCUUAUUUUGAUUGGUCCAGCUUUUGACUAAUCCUCAAAUACAUACAAAAUAAGUACUUUGACACUUGGUGGUUUGAACAAAAAACUGAUGAAAUAGACUAGUUCCAUGCAUUUCUGUCAAAAACUUUGGUUUUAGUGAACAUCAUUCAUGCAUUAAGGGGCAUCCUUAUUUCAACUCCCAGGUUGAGCAAAUGGUUAGGAAAAGAUGAUGCUCGACUGCACGAAUUAUUGGGCAAAUUAAAUUCUUAUAAUUGUCAAUCAGCACUGCUGUCAUUAGGUAAAUGUCAUGAAGUACCUACAGAAGAAACAUUCUUUCUAGUUUAUCCUCCAUGAUGACAAUCACUUAGACGCUAGAUAAACAUUCAUAGUACAGGGAUGCAGGUGAUCCCCUCUAUCUGGUAAAUGACGUCAUAAAGGCACGCAUAAUUGAUGAUUUUUUUUAAUAAGGACAUAAAUUGAAAUUGGUCUCUUCAUACAUAUUUGGUUGUAUAGAUAACUACUGGCAUCUUAUAUGUUGGUAAAAAAAAAAGUAAAUGAUACAAUUCUCGUAUGGUUUCCAUGGAUACUGUAGCACCUGGCUAAUAUAAAUGGAUGGACUUAUUAUGUGUCAGACAAUAAUUCUAAGAAAUGAUUACCACCAUUUUUAUAAUCAUGACUUGCAGAAUUUAUGUAAAUAUUACCAUGCUAAAUAUUUUUGAAAGCAGAGGUUUUGCUUUAAGAAAAUGAACAUAUGGAAUUACAACAAAGUAUAACAGUUACACUAUGAUAAACAAAAUGUGCAGUGUCCUAUAAAAUGACCACAACAUUUCAUAAACUGAAUAU
rnacentral:lncRNA from 1 species